GUUUUGGAUUUGUCGUCCGGUCCAGAUGUGUAUCCAUAAUAUCAUAUAUACAAUGGGACAAGAGUGUCCACAUCAGCGUUUUUUUAAUGAUUGUGGGGUCCAUCUCCGGUUUUGUCUGGUCGAAUAGAUUUGGAGUUUGGUCUGAUUUGGGUUCUCCUUGUAACCCUUGGCUUUCCAAGAAUUGUGACGUCUCCUCUCCUCUCCUCCUCGGCAUCUCUCCUCCGUGAAGUUACCAAGCACCAUGAUACCUCCUCUCAUACUUCGUGACAGCUCUGCUCCUCUCCACCUAUCUUUUUCUUCUUCUCUGCUCUUCUCCAGACUCUUUCUCUCUCUCUCUCUCUCUCUCUCUCUCUCUCUCCACAUAUGUUCUUCUCUUUCCUCAGAUCUCUGCUCAUGUUUCCAUCUCAACCACCGGUUGAAGAAUCUAAGGGUGAGGACGAAUCAGAGGACCGAUGUGGUGAUGGCAAAGGAGGAGGGGAUUUGGUUUCUAAUGGUGGACUGGACGCUUGUCACUGAUGUCUACUCGGCGGUGGUUGAGUGAUAUGUUUUGUGUGGUUCACGGCAGGAGAAAGGGAUAUACAGAAAAAGAAAAAUGGAAAGUGAAGCCAUACCAGAGCAUUUGAUCAAACUCUUCCCUGUUGCACAGCCUGAAGCAUUUGAUCUGGUGGGUUAUGUCAUCUACGACAGUGGAAAUAACUAAAUAUCAAGAUACGACUCACAGAAGCUCAACAGCAGAAGACUGCUCUCAAAGACCUAAAGCCAGAGCAACUGGAGAAGUUCUCUAAGUUGGAGGAAUGGAGGCAAGAACUCAAGGCUUUGGAGGAUAAGGAGGAGGCCUAGCACUCUGCAGCAUCUGACAUGUAACUGUCUAGCUUUCAGACAGGUUGUAGCUUUUUCUCAUUAAAUUUGGUGGAACCAAUCCAAAUUUUGUAUGAAUUGAAAAGGAUGCUGUUCUUUGAGCUUUUUGUCAGAAGUCUGGUUAAUGAACUUGGCUCAAUGCCUAAAUCCUCAUGGGCAUUGAUGCCGCUUUGUGUA